AGGAUGGCGACCGGCGCACGGGUGAGUAACACGUAUCCAACCUGCCGAUAACUCGGGGAUAGCCUUUCGAAAGAAAGAUUAAUACCCGAUGGCAUAAUAGAACCGCAUGGUUUGAUUAUUAAAGAAUUUCGGUUAUCGAUGGGGAUGCGUUCCAUUAGGCAGUUGGUGGGGUAACGGCCCACCAAACCUUCGAUGGAUAGGGGUUCUGAGAGGAAGGUCCCCCACAUUGGAACUGAGACACGGUCCAA
rnacentral:rRNA from 1 species